CUGGAGUCUUCUCCUUGCACCCAAGCACUCCAUAGCCAGAUCUGAAAAACAAUUAUCCUCUCGGCUGCCGGUAGUGAUUUCCGAACUAACAAAUUCACCAAAGAAGAAGGGGAUUUAAGUUUGGUAGAACUCCUGUGCGUUAGCUGUUUAUCAGUAAUCUGUAUCUGCUGUACUUUUUCGGCGGGAGGAGAUGAGCAGUUCAGCAGAUCCGCUUGACCACCAUCCGGGCGGCAUCAAUUCCAUAUCGAAUGAAGAAAUAAGAGCCGACGAGUGCGCCGCGGGCAUAGCUCAGAUGUCCGUCAAAGAGGCGCGCGCACCGUCGACAAUAACUUUAGCUGACGAGCUCGAUUCUUCUAAUGGAAGCACAGAGCAGCACGUCUCAACAGUUCUGGACGGAGAUCCUAGUUCGAAAUCAAGAACUCCAAAUCUGAUUGACGUGGAAAGGGAAAAGAGUGGCUGGGUUCGCCGUCACAGACGGCGCUAUGCCUGACGAACGAGCGGCUAGUGCAGAUAGGAUUAGUGCACUUGAACUAGCAUUUAGAGGAUUUGCUGAGAGGAAAGGAGAUGCAGUUGUGGUUCCUUCUUUGGGCUUGACAUUUGAUUCGCUCGGAGAAACUUACGACUACUACAACCUGUAUUCAUGGGAGUGCGGUUUCAGAAUUAGUAGGUACGGGAAGAGUCGUACAAAUGUCAAAGGUGCUAAAAGCAUGCAAAAGCUACUGUGCAACUGCAGGGAAAACCAAAGAAAGUGAACUCUACUUCGUCCAGAACAGAGUGCCCAGCGAUGAUUAGAUUGCUAAGAACUGAAGAUGAUGGCUGGUACAUCUGUGAAUACAGAGUGUCUCACAACCAUGAGAUGUUACACACAUGCGCACAGAAACUUCACUUCCCUUCCCACCGGCACAUUGACAAAUACGCCAGAGAGCUGGUAUCUCAACUGCGUCGGAAUAAUGUCAACCUCUGCAAAGUUUACAGCAUAAUCGACACAUUUUUUGGGCGUAUAGAGAAUGUUCCUUUCACCAAGAGAUGCCUGAGGACCUUGUGCGCGAAACUAAACAGAGACCAGGGAAAUGAAGAUGCUAAGAAGACAAUGGAUUAUUUUGCAGAGCUCAAGCAGACUGACCCUGAAUUCACUUAUACAGUAUGACCCUGAUAUAACCAGAUCUUGCAGUGCGUGCUGAAGCCUAUGGCAUGGCUGCCCCGAUUUGGUGUCUGGUUGGAAUGGAAUCGAUUUGUGCCGACAUGUGUAGGGGGGUGGUGUUUAUAAUUGGAGGAAGCAAGCGUGUGGGGACAGCUGGUCGGCGAGAUUGGGCCGAAAUCACUAUUUUGACCUUAUCAGCAAUCUUUGUCACAAACUGAACUCGAAAUGAAAGUAUUUCACGAUC